CAUAGCUCUAGGCACCAAUGAGAUCCUGAACCCAUCCCCCCACUCAACUGCUGCACAACCCUUGAGGCAUCUAAAUUCCCUAGGUACUUGAGUUCCUGCCACUGAGCUUGCACAAAACUGCCAAAGUCCUGAUGUUGCUGAUAUGCUUAGAGCCAGGUCUUGCACAUCCUUGGAAGAAGAGAAUUGGACCCAUUGUAUUCUGCAGAAUGCAGGAGCCUAAAACCUAAGGCUUGUCUACAUGAACCUGCAGUUGGGACUACUGGGGCAUGCACCAGAGGGCUGCACUAUAAUUGCCCUGGAUGGACACAGCUGGCACAAACUAAAAGGCCAUCUAUCUUUGUGCCUCACACCAGCUGAUAAGGGAUCAUCCACAGGGCCGGCUUUAUGAACUCUGGGGCUCAAUUCGAAUACCCGGCGGCGGUCCGGGGCUUCAACAGCACUUCGGCGGUGGGGGGUCCGCUCCAGGUCUUCCGCAGCACCAAACGACCCCCACACCACCAAAAUGAGACAUCCGGUCACCCUAUGCUACAGCCAGAGUAUGUGUUUAAGAGCCAGGCUGCUUCCUGCAUCUUCAGUGUCCCGCCUGGCUUAGCUGAUGUGGAGAGACCAUUUUCGAAAUUCAGCUACAUCCAAGACUGCAGGAGAACAAGCCUUGGAAAAAACAUUUUGAAAAAACUGCUCCAAGCCUACGUUACCCAGGACAUUUGGAAUUUACACUGAAGCCCCUACAUCAAGCAU